UACGGAGGAUCCGAGCGUUAUCCGGAUUUAUUGGCUUUAAGGGUGCGCAGGCGGGGGAUUAAGUCGGCGGUGAAAUUUUGCAGCUCAACUGUAAAAGUGCCUUCGAAACUGGUUUCCUUGAGUGUAGAUGAAGUAGGCGGAAUUUGUGGUGUAGCGGUGAAAUGCAUAGAUAUCACGAGGAACUCCGAUUGCGCAGGCAGCUUACUAAACUACUACUGACGCUCAGGCACGAAGGCGUGGGGAUCAAACAGGAUUAGAUACCCUGGUA
rnacentral:rRNA from 1 species